rnacentral:rRNA from 1 species
UACAGAGGUCUCAACCGUUGUUCGGAUUCAUUGGGCGUAAAGGGUGCGUAGGCGGUCGUGCAAGUCGGAUGUGAAAUCUCAGGGCUCAACCCUGAAACUGCAUUCGAUACUGCGUGGCUAGAGUGCUGGAGAGGAGACUGGAAUUUACGGUGUAGCAGUGAAAUGCGUAGAUAUCGUAAGGAAGACCAGUGGCGAAGGCGAGUCUCUGGACAGCAACUGACGCUGAGGCGCGAAGGCCAGGGGAGCAAACAGG